GCUUAACACAUGCAAGUCGAGGGGCAGCAUGGUCUUAGCUUGCUAAGGCCGAUGGCGACCGGCGCACGGGUGAGUAACGCGUAUCCAACCUGCCUUACACUCUUGGACAGCCUUCUGAAAGGGAGAUUAAUACAAGAUGUUAUCAUGAGUAAGCAUUUUCGCAUGAUUAAAGGUUUACCGGUGUAAGAUGGGGAUGCGUUCCAUUAGAUAGUAGGCGGGGUAACGGCCCACCUAGUCUUCGAUGGAUAGGGGUUCUGAGAGGAAGGUCCCCCACAUUGGAACUGAGACACGGUCCAAACUCCUACGGGAGGCAGCAGUGAGGAAUAUUGGUCAAUGGACGAGAGUCUGAACCAGCCAAGUAGCGUGAAGGAUGAAGGUUCUAUGGAUUGUAAACUUCUUUUAUACGGGAAUAAACGAAUCCACGUGUGGAUUUUUGCAUGUACCGUAUGAAUAAGGAUCGGCUAACUCCGUGCCAGCAGCCGCGGUAAUACGGAGGAUCCGAGCGUUAUCCGGAUUUAUUGGGUUUAAAGGGAGCGUAGAUGGGUUGUUAAGUCAGUUGUGAAAGUUUGCGGCUCAACCGUAAAAUUGCAAUUGAUACUGGCAGUCUUGAGUACAGUUGAGGUAGGCGGAAUUCGUGGUGUAGCGGUGAAAUGCUUAGAUAUCACGAAGAACUCCGAUUGCGAAGGCAGCUUACUAACCUGUAACUGACAUUGAUGCUCGAAAGUGUGGGUAUCAAACAGGAUUAGAUACCCUGGUAGUCCACACGGUAAACGAUGAAUACUCGCUGUAGGCGAUAUACAGUCUGCGGCCAAGCGAAAGCAUUAAGUAUUCCACCUGGGGAGUACGCCGGCAACGGUGAAACUCAAAGGAAUUGACGGGGGCCCGCACAAGCGGAGGAACAUGUGGUUUAAUUCGAUGAUACGCGAGGAACCUUACCCGGGCUUAAAUUGCAACCGAAUAUGGCGGAAACGCUAUAGCUAGCAAUAGCGGUUGUGAAGGUGCUGCAUGGUUGUCGUCAGCUCGUGCCGUGAGGUGUCGGCUUAAGUGCCAUAACGAGCGCAACCCUUGCCGAUAGUUACUAACAGGUCAUGCUGAGGACUCUGUCGGGACUGCCAUCGUAAGAUGUGAGGAAGGUGGGGAUGACGUCAAAUCAGCACGGCCCUUACGUCCGGGGCUACACACGUGUUACAAUGGGGGGUACAGAGGGCUGCUACCACGCAAGUGGAUGCCAAUCCCAAAAACCUCUCUCAGUUCGGAUUGAAGUCUGCAACCCGACUUCAUGAAGCUGGAUUCGCUAGUAAUCGCGCAUCAGCCACGGCGCGGUGAAUACGUUCCCGGGCCUUGUACACACCGCCCGUCAAGCCAUGGGAGCCGGGGGUACCUGAAGUGCGUAACCGCAAGGAGCGCCCUAGGGUAAAACUGGUG
rnacentral:rRNA from 1 species